AUUAAAAUAAACUAAAAAGUAUAAAAUUUUUAAAAAAACUAAUAUAUACUGGCAGCAUUUUAUCUUAUUAGAGGAACAUGUUUCUUAAUCGAAAACACACGUUUAUUUUCACUUACUUUAAAAUUUUAUAUACCGCCGUGCAGAACUAUUUUCAAAAUUUAUUCUAAAAAUUAAUCUAAAAAAAUAGGUAAAGGUGUAAACAACAAAUAAGAUGAAAAUGUGUUACAUUAAACGCAAUUUUAAAAUCCUUUUUUAUAAAAAUUAAAUGAAGGAUUUAAAAGUAAUAUUAAAAUAAAAAUUUUAUAUGAAUAAGUAAAUAAAUGUGU
rnacentral:rRNA from 1 species